GUGUGUGUGUGUGUGUGUGUGUAUAUAUAUAUAUAUAGAUAUAUGUAUCUAUAUAUAUAUAUACACACACACACACAU